GAUGAACGCUGGCGGCGUGCCUAAUACAUGCAAGUCGAGCGAACAGACGAGGAGCUUGCUCCUCUGACGUUAGCGGCGGACGGGUGAGUAACACGUGUAUAACCUACCUAUAAGACUGGGAUCACUUCGGGACACCGGAUCUAAUACCGGAUAAUAUAUUGAACCGCAUGGUUCAAUAGUGAAAUACGGUUUUGCUGUCACUUAUAGAUGGUUCCGGGCCGCAUUAGCUAGUUGGUACGGUAACGGCUUACCAAGGCAACGAUGCGUAGCCGACCUGAGAGGGUGAUCGGCCACACUGGAACGGAGACACGGUCCAGACUCCUACGGGAGGCAGCAGUAGGGAAUCUUCGGCAAUGGGCGAAAGCCUGACGGAGCAACGCCGCGUGUGUGAUGAAGGUCUUCGGAUCGUAAAACUCUGUUAUUAGGGAAGAACAGAUGUGUAAGUAACCAUGCACGUCUUGACGGUACCUAAUCAGAAAGCAACGGCUAACUACGUG
rnacentral:rRNA from 1 species